GAUGAACGCUGGCGGCGUGCCUAAUACAUGCAAGUCGAGCGAAAAGACGAUGAGCUUGCUCCCCUAACGUUAGCGGCUGGCGGGUGAGUAACACGUGCAUAACCUUCCUCUUUUACUGGGAUGAUAUCGUAAAGCCGGAUCUACUACUAGCUCAUAUAUUGUACCGCAUGGUUCAAUAGUGCAUCACAGUUUUCGCGUUUCUUUUAGCUGAUUCCGGGCCGCAUUAGCUAGUUGGUAAGGUAACGGCUUACCAAGGCAACGAUGCGUAGCCGACCUGAGAGGGUGAUCGGCCACACUGGAACUGGGACACGGUCCAGACUCCUACGGGAGGCAGCAGGAGGGAAUCUUCCGCAAUGGGCGAAAGCUUGACGGAACAACGCCGGGGGGGGGAUGGAAGGCUUCCGAUCUGAAAACCCUGUUAGUAGGGAAAAAAAAGUGGCUAAGUAAUUAUGCACUGCUUUACGGUACCUAAUCAGAUAGCCACGGCUAACUACGUU
rnacentral:rRNA from 1 species